AAUGAUUAUACUUUUAACUACAUAUAUAAAUGAUAAAACUUCAAAUACCACCUAUAUGGUUUCAUACUUUCUCAUUUUAGUACUUUGUGGUUUAAAGUGUAUCAAUUUAGUGUCCGGUGAUUUCAUUUUUAUCUUUUUAUUAUCGAUUUUACUAAAUUUUUCGUUAAAUUAGUGACAAAGUUAAAAGCUAAAGGAUAUUAAAGUGAAUAUUCGAUAAACCUAGGUGAGGUAUCUUAAAUUUUUUGUAUAUAAUUUAACAAAAUAUUAACGAAAAAGCUGACGAAAAGAUAAAAAUGAAACCACAGGACACUAAUUUGAUACACUUUAAACUACAUGAUAUUAAAGUGAGAAAGUGCGAAACCACAUAGGUGGUAUUUGAAGUUUA
rnacentral:lncRNA from 1 species